CCUACGGGAGGCAGCAGUGGGGAAUAUUGCACAAUGGGGGAAACCCUGAUGCAGCGACGCCGCGUGCGGGAUGACGGCCUUCGGGUUGUAAACCGCUUUUAAUUGGGAGCAAGCGCAAGUGAGUGUACCUUUCGAAUAAGCACCGGCUAACUACGUGCCAGCAGCCGCGGUAAUACGUAGGGUGCAAGCGUUGUCCGGAAUUAUUGGGCGUAAAGAGCUCGUAGGCGGUUUGUCGCGUCUGGUGUGAAAGUCCAUCGCUUAACGGUGGAUUUGCGCUGGGUACGGGCAGGCUAGAGUGUAGUAGGGGAGACUGGAAUUCCCGGUGGAACGGUGGAAUGUGUAGAUAUCGGGAAGAACACCAAUGGCGAAGGCAGGUCUCUGGGCUAUUACUGACGCUGAGGAGCGAAAGCGUGGGGAGCGAACAGGAUUAGAUACCCUGGUAGUC
rnacentral:rRNA from 1 species